rnacentral:lncRNA from 1 species
AGAGAGAAUGAGAGAGAGAGAUUAGGAUCUUAAUAUUAUUAUAUUUUUUUGACUUUUUUUGAUGAAUUUUUAUAAAAAUUGAAAGUUAGAAAUUGAUUUUUUUUAUACGUUUUAGGAAUUGAUUUCGCUUGAUUUUGAUAAGAAAUUUUUUAAGCUACUCUAAAGUGUUGUGGUUGUUGUUCGGAUUAGGAGAGCAGUAACAGAUCACCAUGCUAUCCUGACUACCAUUCUGUUUCUCGAAUUUGCGAUAUAGGUGUAUUCCGUAUUAUCAAAAUUGAUGGACUAAUUUUUAUAUCCAUAUUAUAAUAUUUAGCGUAUGAAAUGAAUUACUGACAUAAUUGAGAUAAUAGUAUUAUUUUUACACCUAUCUAUAGAGUCUAUUGAGACAUACAUAUUAUAUGAUAUUGUUUUGGAGGCCAACAAAGAGU